GUGGCACAUAGCCUGCCUAUUUCACAGGGGGACUCGGGUUGCUGAUACUGGAGAUUUCCAGAGCACACAGCUCACGGGACCCCAGUCUGCAUGCCAGAAAGCAUACAUUGGACAUUAAGACUUUCAAAGGAGAUGAUGGAAUUUUAUAUUUUCUUGCUGAUCCAUAUCACCCAUGAAAAUACAGAAGUGGUAGGGACUUCUGAUGUGUCAAGGAAGAAAGAAACGUUUUUUGGUCGGUUGACUGGUUUUUAAAGGACUCUCCAGAACUGUCGAUGUGGGAGGCAGAAACCUGCGGUGCCUGGGUGUGAGAGAGUGAGUAAGAGGGGGUCCCUUUAAUGCAAAGGACUCAGAAAUCCCCUCUGCAAAUUCCUUCUUCAUCCCUGGGUCUCAGAAAGUGCUGGAAGGUAAUUAGAUUUAAUGAGGCCGUUAUUGUUCUCAAAAUCCUCCCUGCCUUCCCCAGCUCCUCACUCUGGCUGCCCAGAUACCACUCUGGAUCUAGCGGUCCAUUUAGUGUACAUUUUUAAGGGAGAUUUUAAUGGCCAGCUUAUAGGACUGUCUAUUUUGAGGUUGCAUGGCUGGAAUCAAGUUGAAACCAUCUGCUUUUAAAUAAAGAGAAAGGACGACUAAGUAUAUUUAAAAUAUGUAAUUUAUAGCCUGCUGAGCCUUGAAGUGCCCUGUCUAUCCAGAGGCACAAAAUUUUUCACCAGCCCGGGAAGAAACGGGCCCCUGUUUGAGAGGAAGCCCUACGGGGUCUUCAAGUUUCAGACGUACGUGUCUCUGGAGUGCUGUUUCCUGUCUGUAAUGUAAGUUUGAAGCUCUUGGUGUGUUUUCUUGCACUCUGAAAUAAACACAGCACCUGGAUUUAAUCAGUGGGACGGUAACAGGAUCAGGGUCCCAGUUCCCGACGUCAGUCCCCCAUCCCCAGGGGAGGGCCAGGAGGUGGCGGCUCUAAGCCUGUUUGGGAGUUCGGGACCAUUCGCUACCCUGUGGACUUGUUAUGAAUGAGCAGCUCCGAGCCGACCUCGGCCCAUUGGUCUCUUCACAGAAUUCGAGGACUGCUCUAGAACCUUUAGUGACCUCAGAGAGAGGGGGCUCUGGUUUCCGGGCCUGUUGCUUUCGGCAUGCGACACACCAGAUUCAAGUUCCCCCUGGCCAGUGGAGGAUACUUUGUGAACCACAUUUGGACCUUAAAUCGAAAAAACACUCAGCAUCUUCUUUGGACUUAAAAAAUGCUGCAGGAAGAAUAUGUUUCCUUCCAAAUGAAGAUUUUUGCUUUUGGAUGCCUGUUCCUUUGUUAAGUUCCUUUAGUGAGGUCACAGACUCUGAUCUAAUAAAGGACUGGCCGCCUCACUGUGCUUGUGAGUGUGACCGUGGCAGAGGGGAGAAUGGGCCACCGAGUUCAGAAAGAUGGGGCGUGGUCCAGCCCCCCAGUGACACAGCAGCAAACUUAAUACCCAUCUUUGCUGGGAGGCCGAAACAAACGUUUUUCAAGAUUGGAAUGAGAGUUGUGGAGAAAACACAACCGUUUUCCUGUGCUGCCUUUCUCCCCCUCCUCAUUCUUCCUCAAUUUGUGUCCUUUUUUUUCCUAUGGAUAUAAACUAAAGAUGAACAUACCUGACAA
ensembl:lincRNA